AGUCCACCUCUCACUGCCUACUCGCUUCAUAAUGAAACAUUUUAUAACGAGUGCCUUGUAAAGAGCACUCACAGGCAGGCUGAUGGAGACACCUAAAUUCUAAACAUACGUGUCGGGGCGUACUGCAAUUAAAUUUACUCAAAUCCCCCCUUAUCGCAACUAAGCCAUCUAACUGCAUCCUACCCAGUCUCCUCGAAAACACUGCCUACCGCAAUACCAACCACAGUGCCUACCACAAUAAUAAAGACAAAGAUUCAUUACUGUGCUAUGAAUCUUUGCCCCGCUCUUGCAGUUACAUUAGAAGUUUAACAUCCUUCACCCAGUUUUCUUCCUUAUUUAAUUUCAGCACUUUUCCUUUAUUUCUCCAUUUUCUCACCUAGUUUACAGUAAGAGUUGUUCUUGAUGAUAGCAUAAACAGUAUUCCUCCAGGCCCCUUUGUUCAGUCACAAGAAUUUUCUGAAGAGUAAGUGCUUUAUUGUGCUAUCUAGUAGUGAGUGAGGCGAGCGAGAGUGUCUCCCUAUUACUCACCAUCCCCUCUGGUGUGAGUAAAGCCCCUUUCACACGAACGGAUUUUUCCGUCCGGAACUUUCCGCACCAACAUCCGGCCCGCACCGCAACACCCAUGGUCACGUGCGAAUUCUUCCGCAGGCUCUGUCUCUCCCAUCAAUCAAAUCAGUGCACUAUUGUCUCUUGACGAUGGAGGACGUCAAAAAGAGAGUAAUAUAUGUUCAUUUAAUGAACAAGGUCAUCAAGAAAAAGAAGCAGAGAAAAUUCUGGAUUCACCCCUUGAACAGCAGUCGUCUUCUCGAGGGUGCAUUUUACACUCUGUACGGGGGGUUUGAAGGCUGACGAUGCAAAGUUCAACUACUUUCGGAUGAGCUACCCUUCAUAUGAAGAACUUGUGGCUGAAGUGAGAGACUCUUUUCAAUCAGAAGACACCAAUAUGAGACCAAUUGACCAGUGACCACCCGCCGCACGCGGGAAAAAACGGAUAUGUGAACGCGCUCAAAGCAACACGUUAACACCCAAACCGCUCUCCGGUAUUUCUCCCGCUCUGGUAGUCCGGCAGGAUGCGGCUGCCGCAACGGAAAACCUACCGUACCGGCCCCGUAUGAAUGCUCCCAUAAGUGUCAAUGUAAAGCUAAAGUUCCGGAUCGGAAAAAUCCAUUCGGGUGAAAGGGGCCUGACUGCCCGAGACGCAGCUCCAAGCCAUGUUCGCACGCUCUAGUCAGUCACAGUCCAUAUCUUAUGAGAGACAGACUUGGAGCAAUACAGCUAGAAAGGGCCAGUUGCUUAAAGGAGUAUUUGAAUAAUUUACUGGAGUACUCCCCCUGCUUAUGAAUAGUGCUUAGAUGUUUCCAUCAACCUGCCUGUGAGUGCACUUUCUUGCAUAGCACUCGAUAUAAAUUAUGACAUAAUUCAUCUCAUUGUAAGGCGAGUACUUUGUACAAUGAGAGAUCGACUACUCUUUUGUUUGUGUUUGUGGUCAGCCUGCCUAUACAGACACUGUUCUGUUAAAUGAUACUGUCAGAGUCACUAGCGGAUAGCUGUUUUAGUGAGCAGUAACCUGACGCUAUAGCUGGGUAGUGUAGACAUGGCGCCUUGUGUUGCUGAGUCGUCUGGUCGUGUUAGUUCUCCUGUUCUCGAGGCCUUCGUUGCGAAGGUCUCAGAGGUGGAGUUCCAUCGAAGGAUCUCGGGGGUGCAUGCUGAGUUUCAUGAGAGGAUCUCAGAUCUGCAGGCUGAGUUCUGUAAGAGGAUCUCAGCACCUGAGGAAGGGUCAUGCCCCGCCGUCACCUUACCUAGUAAAACGAUGGAGUAGUGGUCCGUUGUGUACAGGGAUGCCAAGAAGUUGAAGGUCCUCAAGGCGCUUCGCCUGGAGGUGCGCCAUUUGGAGACAAGGAAUCCCUGCAGUGUGCUGAAGGGAGUGAUGGAGGAGGAGGUGGACGUGCUAGGAGGAGACAAGAAGAAGGAGGGGGCAGAUGCAGUUACCAUGCCUCAAGGAUAUCGAAGCAGACCGUCUCAGCAGUGGUUCCUGAGGUCUGUGAAGCUCUAAUCUUGGCACUGAAAGGUUAUGUCUAGUUCAUCACCUCUCCUGUUAGCAGACGAACGAUGGGGCUGGGAGAGAGAAAGAGGUGUUUCAUCUUGUUGUGGACUCUCAAUUACAGCAUCAGUUUCUUCCUCAAAAUCAACUUCAGUAACCUGAAAGAGAAGAGAAACACUAUGCCUGCCACGGAAGAAGACUGGAUUGAAACAUCAAAUGGGUUCGCCCACAGGUGGAACUUUCCACACUGAAUUGGCACACUAGACCGGAAGCACGUUCAAAUGCAAGUUCCUAAGAAAAGUGAAAGACUUUUCUUUAACUACAAAGGCACACGCAGUAUUGUACUCAUGGUCUGUGUAAAUGCAGAUUACCAGUUUAUAUAUGCAGACGUAGGAUGUCAAGGCAGAAUUUCUGACGGAGGUGUGUUUAAAUAUACAAGUCUAUGAGAAACUAGAGCAGAAGCGGCUCAGGCUAGAUCCAGACCAGCCUCUUGUAGAGGGACGCAUUCCUGUGCCAUACCUGUUUGUUGGAGAGGACGCCUUUGCUUUGUCACGUUACUUACUGAAACCAUCUCCAGGAAAUCUAGAAAGGUCUUCCCCUGAGAGGAUCUUGAAUUACAAACUGUGUAGGGCAAGGAGGACUGUAGAAAAUGUGUUUGGAAUCUUAGCAUCUAAGUUCAGAGUAUUUCUAAAACCUAUUGCAUUACACCCGGACGAGGAUGAGAGUGUUGCUCUGACAUGCAUAUAUUUGCAUAACUUUCUAAACAGAAAUGUGGAGUCGAGAAACGCUUUUUCACCAC